rnacentral:lncRNA from 1 species
UUAAUUGAAAAGGAAUAAAGGAGCCGCCUAGUGCAAGAAGAUCUCACGUUCACGCAGGAUUCAGGGAUAAGGGCGCAUGCCAAAAGGUAUGAUGUAAACAACUUACUUUGAUGUGGCUGAUUUCACGACCCAAAAUCGUGAACUAGAAGUCACUUAGAAAUAAUUUGAUCAUUGCUACAAGACUCUCCUUCUAAAUGAAAAAGAAUCAGUCAUUAAAUUCAGGUCAGUUAUCUAAUUGAAGUGGCUAAAAUUGCAAACUCAUGCACAAACGAUUUUAUUCCCACGUCUCGAGCUGAACCCCUCCAUAAUUUGCUGUGUUAGCUGUAUGAGCAAUAAGUUUACAUGUUUGACCAGAAGUAUAAGUACAUGGGACUAGUUUUAUCAUCAUUUCUGGAAUAAACAGCUAAAGAAGAGCAUAAUUUGAUUGAGCAAGUAUAUUAAUUGAAGAGACAACUCAUCCAUUAUGAAUAUUCUUAGUACAACAGUUAAUGGGGCUCCACUAUUAAGCUAUUAAGCCAAUAUCCAACGAUAUAAGGCCCUACGAGUAUAAUGAACAAUUGACGGCAUAGAAAUACACACAUAAAUACUGUAUACAAAGAUUUGAAAGCCAGACAAAACAUUACACUAACCAAGGGUAAAAACUAGCAAAAAGGCAUCUAAUAUUUCAUGGAGGGCCUGCGCAUACCUCCAAGUGAAACCAGAGCUGCCUACAACCUUGAGCAACCUUUUCAGAGAAAGGACUAAGAGCAGAUCACUAGGUCUUCGUUUUUUAACCGAGCAUUUACUUGUAUGUUACAUCCGCAACUGUUUAAGAUUUGGAAAAUGCACGUAGUGUUUCAUCGAGGGCCUUCUGGUCAUAAUCACCGGUAAAGACACAGUUACCUAGCGGACCUUCUAGAAGGAUGAGUCUUAGCUUCCCAUCUGCCACUUUUUUAUCAACCUGACACCAAAAACAACAGAAUUAAUGGUUGAAGCAAUGACUUCUAGCUAUUAGGAGCUCAACAAACUAUUGACUCUUACAGCCAUGAUAGACUUGAACAUCUCUACAGUCAUAGUUUCUGGAGGUGCAGUCGGCAGCUUUGCCUGUUGUAAGAUAUUGUGCACUCGCUGUACCAGUGAAUCAUCAAUCCAUCCAAGGCGGCGUGACAUGUCAACAGCCAUGACCUAAAAAAAUAGCACCUAGUUUAUGCAUCACAUAUAGAAAUUGAUCCCUCAUUAUUUUCUUAUGUUUUCUCCUUCUUUCACAUUUCUCUAAGGGGCUGUCCAAUAGGGGUAGGGGCCACUUGCAUAUGAGGUAACAAAAGUAUGAGACCUAUACCGUGCCAGCAGCAACUGCUUCUCCGUGAAGCCACUGCCCAUAGCCAAAGCCAGUCUCAACUGCCUGCAAAUAAUAGCUCUUCCAGUGAGAGGAUAUUAACUCAUAACACGACUUUACGAAAAGAAUACGUAACAUUUGAUAUUUUCCUUAAGAUACGAAGAUUCGCUGUUUGCGCAUAACAAAAAGCAUUUUUUUCCAGACGAGGAAGUAGAGACUUCCAGAAGUGUCAAAAGUCCCUUAAGCAUUUUAAGAUGAAGACAAAUAAACAAGACUGAAACUUACAAACUAUCAUAAAGUUGUAAUGAUACAAAGCUAGUCUCCCUAAACUAUGAGAGUCUUAAGAGGCAAACAAACUAUUAAAUGAUGAGACACCAAGAGAUGGUCAUUGAGCUCCCGUAAUACAGCAGCAAAAGGAUUGUGUAACAACUGUCAAGAACUUACAUGACCAAAGGUAUGACCCAAGUUCAAAGUUGCCCUCAGUCCACUUUCCUUCUCAUCUAAAGAAACAACCUCUGCUUUGUUUUCACAUGAACGCUUGAUAGCAUAGGCAAAUGCAGUACGGUCCCUGGAAAAAGGAUAACCAUUUUCAAUAACGUGUGAAAUAGCAUCAGAUAGCUAGCUUACAUUAGUCUUAGAAAUACGAAGCUUAAGGUUAUGACAUGGAUGACUCAGUUCGAAUGAUACAAAGCUUAGAUGUACAUACUUUUGAAACCAGCUUGGCCUUUAGAAUGACAAUUUCAAUUUAUCGAGAAAAGGUUAUGAUAUGGGAGAAUAAUGCCAUUUAUAUUUAUGCAGUGAAUGCUAACUACAAAAAGAAGACUAACUUCCAAUUGAAGCCCAAUAUAAAGCUCAAAGGCUUUAAUAUGUUUCCAAAAAAAAUGGGCGGGACGCUUAACUCCUCUUAGAUUCCCCAAUUUCUCAUCAGGGUAUUCUCGUACAUUCUUAAUGGGCCAAAUAAGAUGGUAGUAAACUUAAAUUUUGUGCCUAUGUAAGUCUCUUGCUAGAGAUGAAAGCUGGACAAAGAAAAAGUUGACAAUUCAACUAUUCAAUACCAUACUAUUCUUUUACCUUGCUAAUAAUAAUGGCAUAUUCUGCUCUUGCCACUCAAAGAACUCAGCAUCUCUAACGAGUCCAUAUUUUAUCACCUCUGCGAGGCCGGAUGCUAAUUCUCUAUCUGGUAAUGUAUCCAGGGUGUCCGUGUCUACAAGCACACACUGUGGUUGGUAGAAUGUUCCAAUCAUAUUUUUACCAAGCGGAUGGUUUAUUCCAGUUUUGCCUCCAACUGAAGAAUCUACCUAAACACAGUGGACCAAAAGAACAGGAUACAAAUUUUAGCAUCACUAAAGAGAAGAAUCCAUAGUCAUAUCAAACUAGAAAAGAUAAUGUGUAGUUAACGCACAUCUCAUGUAGCAUGGAAUUGAUUAUUUAAAAGAGAAAACCUCAGAUAACUAAGGCCAAAAAACAGGAUACACAAGUUAGCAUCACUAAGUGAAAAAUUCAUACCCAUACCAAACUAGAUAUGAUAGUGCACAUUUCAAGUCGCAUGUAAAUUGAUUAUAGAACAACAACAACAACUACCCAGUAUAGUCCCACAAAGUGGGGUCUGGGGAGGGUAAUAUGUAGACGGGCCUUACCCCUACCCGAAAGGGCAGAGAGGCUGUUUUCAAUCGACCCUCGGCUCAUGUAAAUUGAUUAUAGAAAAGAGAAAAAUUCAAAGAACCUGUGCCAUAACAGUCGUAGGAAUCUGAAUAAAACUAACUCCACGGAGGUAGGACGCGGCAGCAUAUCCACACAUGUCACCUAUGACUCCACCACCGAGGGCGACGAAUGUACAACGACGGUCCAGCCUUGAUUCGAUGGCCUUAUCAAAGACUUUCAUAAGAGUAUCCUGAAAUAGCAUAUUGACAACGUCACAUAAACCUUAAAGAUAAACAGUUUCUCUUGAAACUCAUAUUCUUGGAACCCAUUGCUGCUUACCAUGUUUUUAAAUUGCUCACCAUCUGGCAAAAUGACACUUUCUACAGUAACAUUAGGGUUUCCGUCUGUCAAAGCACUUAUUGUUUUAUCAAGAUAUAGAGGGGCAACUGUAGUGUUAGUCACUACAAGGACUCUCUUCCCAUGAAUAUGUCUGCAAAAAAGACAGGGAAGAAAUUAAACACAGGAAUUCACAAGAAGCCGUAAACGAAUAUUAAGACAAUCAGACACACACAAUAAAAAAAAGCUUCCAAAACAGAACUGGAAACAACUCCAAGUUAGGUAAAAAAAAAAUUAUAAUGAUCAAUCAAAUUGAUUUCUUAAUUUCCUUUGAACAAGUAAAAGCAACCAACAGAUGAAUGAAACCAAAAAGGUUAUCAUAUUUCUUUCUGAAACCUUAUCAAUUUACUAGUGCAGCUACUCAAUACCCACAAAUCAGCAAAUGAAACCACAACCUUGAGAGAGAAAUAUCUUAUAUUGGUGUUGAGCAACCCCGACUAGCAUAAUCCAAUCUCACUUGGCUCUCCAAACCAGUUUGGGCCUCUUUUAAAGUAAAGUCGUGCUCACAGUGACUAGCAGCAGUAACAUUUAUUCACCUCACUGCCUUUCCAUUUUGUUAUGUUCUGUGUUCUUUUAUACUUAGGCACUUACUACAGGAAACAAAACCUAUUGCUGUAAGUCUGUAACAUCAUCCUAGGUUUUGCUGCUUGGGUGUCAAUAAGUUGAUUUGAAUACAUCUCAUGUUGCAAGCUGGCAGAUUAACUAGUUGUGACUCACUUUUGAUCCGUAAUAGCUUGUAGUGGACUAUGUUUUCAUGAAAAUCUUUGGUUCAAAUAGAAAAGGUUUGUCGAGAAAAGGUUAAUGUGCAUUUACAUGCACCUUCACCAACUAUUAUUACAUACAUCAUAAAUAAAUACUUUAUGAGCACACUGUUAUCUGCUUUUACAUACAAGGAGGACUAUUGAUAAGUGAAGCUAACCCAUCAUUUGUAACUUGCGUUCGCAUGUACACUUUACCAAUCUUUGCUCACUUUUUGUUACAUGGUAGCACAUGAAUACAAUAUUCAUGAGUAUUGAUAAGACUACCAUUAAAUUGUGAAAUUGCAUAUAGUUUGCUUACUCAAUUAAGAAGUAGCUAAAGUUUCAGUUGAAUCCAAACUACAGGAGCAGGAAUGAAGAACUUUUAGUAGGCACUGGACUCAUUGCACAGCAAGUAAACAUUUCUCUCUCCUGCUUAAAUGUAAGCUGGUGUUGCAGGUGCAGGGAAUACACGGAGGAUGGUGAUCAGUUGCUGUCACACUGUAGUUUUGGGGGGUCGUGUUCUCUUUGUUUGACAUCGAGUGAGUGCGCAGAUUGGCCAUGUAGAAGCUAUGAAAAGUUGAAGGUUCAGGGUGUUUGGGGAAAGAAUCUUGGAAAACUAGUCCACUAUGCCUUUUUGGACUAAAUGAAAUGAAAGAAAAUGGAAGGAUAUUUUGAGGCAAUGGGAGAAGCUUAAAUAACACCUUCUUGUAUAAUGUAUACUUUGGUGUGAAGAAAGAAUGCCAUUUCGUAUAACUUGAUAGGAG